rnacentral:rRNA from 1 species
CCUACGGGAGGCAGCAGUGAGGAAUAUUGGUCAAUGGACGAGAGUCUGAACCAGCCAAGUAGCGUGAAGGAUGACUGCCCUAUGGGUUGUAAACUUCUUUUAUAUGGGAAUAAAACGUUCCACGUGUGGGAUUUUGUAUGUACCAUAUGAAUAAGGAUCGGCUAACUCCGUGCCAGCAGCCGCGGUAAUACGGAGGAUCCGAGCGUUAUCCGGAUUUAUUGGGUUUAAAGGGAGCGUAGGUGGAUUGUUAAGUCAGUUGUGAAAGUUUGCGGCUCAACCGUAAAAUUGCAGUUGAAACUGGCAGUCUUGAGUACAGUAGAAGUAGGCGGAAUUCGUGGUGUAGCGGUGAAAUGCUUAGAUAUCACGAAGAACUCCGAUUGCGAAGGCAGUUCACUGGACUGCAACUGACACUGAGGCUCGAAAGUGUGGGUAUCAAACAGGAUUAGAUACCCGAGUAGUC